rnacentral:rRNA from 1 species
UCGAGAAUCUUCCGCAAUGGGCGAAAGCCUGACGGAGCGACACCGCGUGCAGGAUGAAGGCCUUCGGGUUGUAAACUGCUGUCAGGUUCUAGGAACGACCUGGCGUGAACAACGCCAUGUUUGACCAAGACCAAAGGAAGCAACGGCUAACUCUGUGCCAGCAGCCGCGGUAAGACAGAGGUUGCAAACGUUGUUCGGAAUUACUGGGCAUAAAGCGCACGUAGGCGGUCCGUUAAGUCAUGUGUGAAAUCCCCCGGCUCAACCGGGGAAUUGCGCCUGAUACUGGCGGGCUCGAGGUCGGUAGGGGUGAGCGGAACUCCAGGUGGAGCGGUGAAAUGCGUAGAUAUCUGGAGGAACACCGGUGGCGAAAGCGGCUCACUGGACCGAAACUGACGCUGAG